GGUUAAGCGACUAAGCGUACACGGUGGAUGCCCUGGCAGUCAGAGGCGAUGAAGGACGUGCUAAUCUGCGAAAAGCGUCGGUAAGGUGAUAUGAACCGUUAUAACCGGCGAUGUCCGAAUGGGGAAACCCAGUGCAAUUCGUUGCACUAUCGUUAACUGAAUACAUAGGUUAACGAGGCGAACCGGGGGAACUGAAACAUCUAAGUACCCCGAGGAAAAGAAAUCAACCGAGAUUCCCCCAGUAGCGGCGAGCGAACGGGGAGCAGCCCAGAGUCUGAAUCAGCUUGUGUGUUAGUGGAACGGUCUGGAAAGUCCGACGGUACAGGGUGAUAGUCCCGUACACCAAAAUGCACAGGCUGUGAACUCGAAGAGUAGGGCGGGACACGUGGUAUCCUGUCUGAAUAUGGGGGGACCAUCCUCCAAGGCUAAAUACUCCUGACUGACCGAUAGUGAACCAGUACCGUGAGGGAAAGGCGAAAAGAACCCCGGCGAGGGGAGUGAAAAAGAACCUGAAACCGUGUACGUACAAGCAGUGGGAGCACCUU
rnacentral:rRNA from 1 species